CGCCGUAGCAAUACGGAGUGGCAGACGGGUGAGUAACACGUGGGAACGUGCCUUUUGGUUCGGAACAACCCAGGGAAACUUGGGCUAAUACCGGAUAAGCCCUUACGGGGAAAGAUUUAUCGCCAAAAGAUCGGCCCGCGUCUGAUUAGCUAGUUGGUGGAGUAACGGCCCACCAAGGCUACGAUCAGUAGCUGGUCUGAGAGGAUGAUCAGCCACACUGGGACUGAGACACGGCCCAG
rnacentral:rRNA from 1 species